UCCCAGGACCCUCAACUAAUUAGCAAAUUCAGCCUUUGAAUUCGUUCAGGACCAGCAGAAUCUUACAAAUAUUGGGAGGGCAGCAAAUUACCAGCAAAAGAUAAUUUUGAAGAUCCCCAGAAAAGAUGAGAACUGACUGGCAGAUAGACACCAAAGGUGGAAAGUAGCCCUGAAACAGAACUCAGCAGCUGUUAAUACCAAAGCAUAAGAUUAAUGUCAUCUACCAGCAAGAGACUUUGAUUUGAAUCAUCGGUAGGUAUAAGAAGCCAAAGAAUUAACCAUGAGAAUACCGUACAGGAAAAGAUAGAUGAAGGACUUCAGAGUCAAGAUGGAAGAGUAAAAGCAAGGACUUUCCUGAGUUCAACUCCAAGAUCCUCCAAUUAACUUUAAAUAGUCUCUAAAUAAAAUCUAGA